rnacentral:lncRNA from 1 species
AUGGAUGGGCUUUGGUAAGCCGUGAGAAUGCCAGUAUCGAACAAAAACGUCCGCCGCGAUUACAAUUACCGUUCGUUCGUUCGACGCUCCAAUUUCCUACAUUUCUAGCGAUUGGCCUUACGUCAACUGGACAGCACUUUGCAAAAGAUUAACGCAAGAACAUAUCAACGAGGUUUAGCGGAAAAAUCGGCCAACGUGGUAAAUAAUGGAAAGGCCAAUAUCAGCAUAUUUUUCGAAAUAAUUGGGCAACCUAUCUGGCGUGUGCUUGCAAAUUCCAGGCAAAAAUAAUGUCACCGAUGGGUAGUGCUUCUUCGAAUUAAAAGAGAAUGCCAGGCGAUUUUCCGGGAAAACGGUGCAUCGGAGAGUGGCUGCACGGCCGGGAACGUGGCAUGGAAAAGAGGAAGCUGACGUGGAAAUAAAAAGGACGACAAACGAAAAGGGGAGACGAGCGAGAAGCAAGGACGGCGGAGAGACAGAGAGAGCGAGAGAGACAGAGAGAGAAGGAGGGAAAAUACGUGAGAGAGUUGUGAAACGGGAACGCCGUGCGCAUCGCAAUGCAAAUGCAACUGACCCGAUAAAGCUGCAUUGGGUCAUAGAAAGGGAAAAUACAACCUACAAACGUGGGGCUGCCGCCAAAAUACGAUUUUUAUAGCCUCUGGGCGCCACGCUCUUCUCUUCUGUCUCUCACAGUGACGUCCGCCGCCGACCAACGCUACCCUUCGGCGUCCCACGCACACCCCCGCGUUUAUGUUCACCAUCUACGUUCAUCUUCGUUCUGCUGUUUCUUGGCCGAUCUUCGCCACGAAGAUCUUCUCCUCGAGUACCAGAAUGGAAACUCGAAUCCUCGAAGCUCUACCUUUACUCUAUUCCUGUCCAUCUUGUUACGUACAACUACGCAUCUGCACGCGCGUGGUUGCGAGAACGUGUCGUGACAGAAGCGAACGUUACGUCUUAAUUAAUGGUGAAAGCGAAGGGAUGGUAGCUUGGAAUACCGACAGAUGACAAUACCAAGUUCGCAUUCUCAACGAGAAAAUUGUACACUGUCCUCCAGCAACGAGCAAAUAUCCUGCGACAUCCUUAAAUCUCGUUGCUUGAUUUUACUUAGCGGAAUUUCCAGAUAUCUGCUAUCACGUUCGAUGAAACAACGAUGAAAUAAAAGCGAGAGAAAGAAGCGAGAAAUUGAAGAGACCAGGCAGACGUAUUAUUAUUUCGCAAAGAAUUAGCGAACAACCGAAUGGCGUCGAAUUUUAGGGCAAAUCAAAUGUUUCAUUACGGUGAAAUUUUGAAUGGCACAAAGUCAAAACAGGUAAUGGCGGUAACAUAGCACGGCUGCACGGCGGCAAGUGGGGCAUAAUAAAUUUAGGUAUCGAUCGAGCGGCAAGAGCGCGCGGAUCUCUCGACCGGCGCACACCAGCGCGGAAUAUUGUUGCACGUGAAAAUAACAAGACCGCGUUUUCAAAUUAUGCACAAUCUCGCGGAAUUCACUUUUAUGAGUUAGACGUGAUCAAUAGUCGCGCCGGAUGCGCCGGGGAUCCGACGACGAAACGUUACGGCUGAUUGUAUCUAUACCACCCCCCUACAUAAACCUAAUUAAAUUCGAAACAAACUUUACCCAGAGUGCCGGUAUUAGUUUCUAGUGCGUUUUAAUUAAAUGCAUUCCGCCCGUGAACGAUCGCGUGAAUUCGAAAAAAAUGAUCGGACGCGCGUCUUCCUGCUGUCCAAAAUUCCCCGUUAUCUUCGAAUCGCUGCCAGUCUCUUUCGUUUUCUUCUCUUCGUCGUCCGUUUGCUCGCUGACGAUGCACCGCGUGGUAGUUUUCAGGGCAACUUUGUUCUAUCGAACCUGUUCGUUGAUUUCUUCAUCUCGUCGCAUCAUUCAUCGAUUAACGUCGGAUUCCGAAGAGACGAACGAGUUACCUCCAUCACGGAAACAUGACACAAACAGCAGAAAAUAAUUAGGUAGAUCGAAGAAACGGUAUUUAUGCUUCUCUACCUAUCAAAUUGAUCGAUGCGUCUUGCAGGCAGCUCGUAUCGCAAGAUAUAAAAUAUUAUCGCUAUAAUUACCCUUGCGUUGCGAUUAUUUCAUUGCUAUUUUGUUUUCAUUUCAAGAGGAUGGCAAACAGAAAUUUGUCGUACGUGAAAACUUUUCACCGAGAUUUCCCAUCGAUUUUCCAUCAAACCUGAAACACGCGAAUGUCGAGUUCUCGCGCGGUUUCGCAGUACGGAAAGAGGAAAUCUAAAUUACCGCAUGCCCCUUGCACCGAAAUCAGUGUAUGAACACGUGGUUCACUGGCGAUCGGUCGGGGUAGAAAGUGCUUACGGUGGUGAGAGUGUAGGGUGAGCGGAGAAUGGGGUGCAUGGACAUCGGCCGGACAUCGGAAUGGGAAACGGGUUAGCCGAAUGACCGGCGGUCAGAAUUAUAGGGGUGGUGAAUUGCGAAUGCUCGGCGUCUCCAUGCCAAAAACAAUGCACGCAGUAAAACGGUAAAUGGAGAAACGACCUUAUAAAUGUCUGGCCGAUUCAACGCAAAGGUUCAUUCGCAAAGACCACGUUAUAAGCGGCGUUUGAAGGGAACGCGAGAGAACUGUGCGUGUCUAUGAGGCUGUCACGAUUAACCGAGAUGUCGUAGGAAAAACUGAACCGUGCAACGAGAACGAUAUAUCGCGGCAGCUGUGUUAAGUAGCGCUCGUAAAUUCAUAUUUUUAGGAAUUCAGAUAACCAAAUCUGGACAGACGAUCGUCGUUUUGUUACGAACGUUUUAACGAGUACUGUACGCUGCAUGCUUUGUACUUCGUAUGCUAAUGUAUCGGCUCUUUUUAUACUUAUACGUCAUAUAUUUCGUACAAUUUUAUCCUUCGUAGAACGUCUAAGAUGUAGCGGACGUUGAAAUACCUGUGAUAGGGCGGUAGUUUGGUAAAAUCUGGUUUUUUAAUUAACUCAUUCGUAGAGACAUGAAUGUGCAUAAGCGUACUUUGUAUAGCAGGUAUGUUUGUGUGUUAUAGGUAUUCCCAAUUUCCCGUGAACGCAAAUACAAAUUCGUAGACUAAUGACGAGCAACGAGAAGAUACGUCGAAAGCGAUUUCUCUGUGGCAAGCAGAUACGUUUAAACGAGUCUACAUUUUUAUAUUUUAUAUUGUAUCGUAUUGUUAUAUUAGGCGUCCUAAUUUUGUCAAAUUUCGAUUAUAUCAUGUGCUAUCAAAUUGUUUAAAGCUUUAAAAACAAAGUGACAGGCAGAUAAUUUAAACAAUUGUAUAGUUGAUAAGGAUCGUGCAAUUAUUUUAUAUUGUAUCAUAUUGUAAUAUUAGGCGUCCUAAUUCUGUUAAUUUCGACUAUAUCGUGUGCUAUCAAAUUCUUCAAAGCCUUAAGAACAAAAUGGUAAACAGAUAAUUUAAACAAUUGUAUAUUUGAUAAGG